AUAUCUGCUUUCCGCUUCAUUUCGAGUUCAUAAAUUUAAAAAGAGACAGUGAGAGAAAGAAAAAGAAAAAAAAAGGCAAGGCGCCGGGAGCACAGUGGGUCCAGGGUUCCAUGGAGAACUGCGCAAAGCAAGUUGCCAAGAAAGCCCGCUGGCCAAGUUCGGGACCUGUCCACCACGCUCGCGCGCUCCGCUCAGCAGGCAGAUUCCAAAGGCUUGGGGCACUCUGGGGUGCGCGCCGAUCUUCUCGCAAAAGGCGAGUGUGUGGGGUUCCUCCUUCCCUCCUUUCCAUCUGGGGGUCUCGGGGAAAGCUGCACCCAGCGCCUUGGGCGCCCAUGAAGACCAGUCCAUCUCAGCUCAAGCUCCCAGCAGCAGCAACUUCGGACUCAGACCUCUCUCUUUAGAACAUGAGUGCUUGUGUGUGCGUGCGUGUGUGUGUGUGUGUGUGUCCGAGUGCACUUCACAUUUGGGGGUGCUUGUGCUCUCAGGAACGACUCUCCCGGCUGCCCGGAACUUAGAGAGUUUCCCUUUAAGCCGGAGAUGCUGCUCGGACACCCCCCCGCGUCCAACAGGAGGCGAUGACGUCUGUAGCCUCGUUGCCAGAACAGUCCCCAGGCUACCGCUGCCGUUCAUUGACAGGAGCGGGCGCUCGGACGUCAGCAGCCGGACCUUUGGCAAGGCUGCUCCCGCGGAGACGGCUCCCACCCCCGCACCUGCCAGCCCGCCCCCCCGGGGGGUGGUCACGAAAUCAAAGCCACCAGAGGAGGGGCCCGGGGAGGUGCUGGGGCUGGGGGAGGGGGAUGACUCGGAUCUGCCCUCUUUGUCCUGGAGCACCGGAGUAUAUAAAUAGUGCAGUCUCCAGCCAGACUCUCUCCCAGUCUUGCACGCCCCCGCAGUCCCCCCAACCCGACCCCCGCCCCUUGUCACUACGUGUCGGGCUCGCUCUGCCUGGAGGGAGGCUGGGGUGCGGGGAAGCAGGGAGUGCAAACAGACAUUGGUUCUCUUUCCUCUUCCCAUUCAUACAUUUCUGUUGGAGUCCUAGGGCCGCCGCGCCGGGAGUCGCAAUGAAUGGAUGGAUGCCCGCGCGCUGGGACCACCAGGUCCGCAGAGAUGUCGCCGGCGCUAGGGGCGCUCCUCCCGCGUGGGGACAGGCGCCCUCGCCUAGGCGCAGUGUGGGGGGACCCCAAAAGACCCUUAAGAGGCCAAAGGCCUGCUCUCCCCGUUCUCCCCAACACACACCAGGGGUCUUUUCUGCCCCGGAGAAGUUGGGACGCAAAACGUAGGGAACUGCGCUCAGUCUCCGCACCACGAAGAGUCGAGAUGGGGACCGAGACCAGCACGGACGGUAGCAACAGAGAGGGGAGCGCCCAAGUGGCGCAACGUUGUGGCUGAAGCCAAGCCUGUCGCCUCCCCCUGAGUACCGCUGGCGGCCCAGGACCGUGCGCUCUCCCUUCCUGAGCACCCAGGGAUGCACUGCGCAGGGAAGGAGGGCACGGCGGGAGGGUGCUUGCAGGGGACUGCUGCGCGGAUUCCCCAUCCGCACCCGGCUCGCGGGGAAUCCGUGGGCUUGCACUCGCCAGAAAGAGCUGCUGCAGGAGCAGCCGGAUGGUGAGGCCCGUUCCCGACCCUGGGUGGGAGGAACUUAAAGGGCUGAGUUCUGAGGCGCCAGGCACAGGGCGCAGCUUCAUAAAUGCACCCAAAAGCUUCCAUGGACAGACGGCACAGAUGUCGCUGAAGUGAACCUAAGGAAGUUUGCUACCCCAAGACCCGGGCUUCGCGCCAGGUGACAACAGACGUCUGGGAGUGUGGUGACACCUGCGCAGAGUCCCUGGUGGUUCAACCUGUCCGAGAAGGUUGCAAGAAGAUGCCACUGUCUUACCUUUCUCCCCUAGUGCUCAUGCCCCAGAAAAGGCCACUGGGUCACUAGAUCCCAACCCCUUGUGCCAUGAGAGGGAAGCCUGCACAACGGCGUUGGCACUCCCCCAUAAAUCGUCUCCUGGGUCCUUCCCAUUACGCACACACAUAAUGUCAUUUCUCCAGGGAAAAAUAAAUAACAACUUUCUUGACUAAAAAAAAAAAAAAAAAAAAAAAAAAAAAAAAAAAAAAAAAA
rnacentral:lncRNA from 1 species